CCCAUUAGUGUAUUAAGCUCAUUCUGUUCAUAUUCAUUCAUAUUAACCCAAGACUGAUUUUACAGUGAUAUUUACCCCAUCCUGUUAAAACUGGUUCAGUCAGACUGCGGUGAUUGACCAGACAGUCAUAAGAUCCUUCAUGGUUUCUGUUGAUCUUCACACUGAUUCUCAUCUGAAAGGUUUCAUCAUCAUUUGGUCUGAUUCCAGAAGAUGUUUGAUCCUCAAGGAUGUUUCUGUUCAAUCUAAUGUUCAUCUGAACAUCUCUGGGGUAGAAACCAGUGGCCAGACACGUCAGAACCAGAUUACUGUGAUCAUCAGGAGAUUUCCUCGCA